GAGAGGACGGCAGAGGUCGCGUCACAGAUUGGAAUGAACAAUAGCACGCCGGGAUAGGCUCCUUCCUCCCCCCCCCAAAUCCCAUCGCCUAACCGUGUGUACAGUUCCCGGAUGGCUGGUGUUCCCUGGAAUUUCCUUCAGUACUUCACUUCGAUUGGUGAACCAAAAAAAACAAAAUAUUUAAUUGAGAAAGGAAAGGGGAAGGAGAAGAUAAAUUUCAAAUACAUCAAAAAUGUAACCAGUGAUUCGUACAUUUAGAUCUUCCAGACAAAAUCUUCUACAAUACAAAAGCAAAGUACUGUGGAUGCUGUAGACCUGAAAUAAACACAAUGCUGGAAAAAUGCUCAGCAGUUUGGCAGCCACUGUGGAGAGAGAAACAGAGUUAACAGUUCAAACCACUAUGACACUUCUUUGGAACUGAAGAAAGGUAGCAAUGUGAUUGUUUUUUUUAAUGCAUUUGAAAAAGUGAAGAGGAACAAGUGGAACAGAAGGGAAGGUAAGGGAAAGGUUAUAGUCUGAGGGAGAUUCAAGAUUAAUAGUGCCAUAAAACAAAAGGCAAACAGAAUGGUAAUGGUUAGAGUUCCAAAGUAAAUGUUAACAGGUGACCAAAAGUCAACUCUGACAGUCAACAAAAAUGUGAAAACAGGAGACAGAUACAUUUUCCUACAUCAUAAUCAAUCUCCCAAGGUUAUGCCCACACAUUUAACCAAUCUAUAUCCCUCUGUAGACUCCUUGUAUCCCCCUCACUACUUUCUUUCCCACCGAUUUUCCCUGGUGCACUCUAGUUACAGGUUGCCAUCAGCAUUCCCCCUAAUUAGACCUGAGGUCUGCGCAUGGAAGUGACUUCCAGAAUCGAUGGCAAUGCUGUGAAUGCCAUUGGCAUACCAGUCGCCAUGUACAGACCCUUGGCUACACAUCCACUCAGCUCAGAAGGAACAUUGGUUGCCAUCCUGCAAAUGUCCCCUUUAUUCCAACUCUCUGUCUUCUAUUAGUUAGCUAAGCCUCUGUCCAGGCCCAUACACUACUCCCAACAUCAUGGGCUCUUAUCUGAUUAAGUAGCCUUACAUGUGGUACCUUAUUGAAUACCUUUUGGAAAUCCAAAAGUAUAAUAUUCACUGAUUCUCCUUUAACUGCCCGACUUGUUAUCUUUAUCAGGCACGAAUUCCCCUUCAUGAAGCCCUGUUGACUCUGCUUGAUCAUAUUAUAUAUUUCUAAAUGCUCUGCUAUUACAUUUUCCCAAUGAUAGAUGUUAAACUA